GGUCGCUGUGAUUUCCAGAGGAGAUUGGUCACUGCGAUCUGAAGGGGAUUCGAUGCGAGAGGAGGGCGGUACGCAUGAACCGCGCGAGAGAUCGAGAAGGGGAAGGGGAUGGCUCGGUCGCUCGGAGGGAGGACCAUGACUCUUCGUCAUCGAUCGGGCGCUGCUCCGCUGCGAUUUGAAGACACAAUAAAGCUUCAGUUUCUCUGCACACAAUGAUGAUCAUGGAGACUGUACUAACAAUUUUUCUACUUCAGCAGCUCAUGAUCUUUUAUAGCAUUUGGACAGAAAGAAGUAAAAGAAUUCAGUGAGUUGGUUUUCAGGCCAAUUUGUUUUUAUCAGAUCUGAACCAAUCCUCCGGGCAUGUCACCGUGCUUGCACGCGUAGCUCUUGUAUGGGAUUUCUACAAGGAGAAUGAAUUUACGCAUCUUGACAUCGUCUUUGUUGAUGAACAUGCCUACUAAAUACUUAUUACAUGUAUCCUCUCUUACAUAAUGUAUUGUCCCUGUGUUUAAUACUGAUCUUCUAUAUAGGGAAACGAGAUGUGUGUCAAGAUGCAUGUGAUGCAUGCAGAAAUAUUUGGGGAAAACUAAAGAAGGGCAAUGUUUUCCUCAUCAAGAACUUCUUUGUGAAAUCAGCAAAGAACAUGUAUAAGUCUGUGGAAGGCAGUUCUAUGAAAAUAACUCUAUGGUCAAAAGUUUAGGCGUAGCGUGAUGUACCUAUCAAUUAUCCUGACUAUGCAUAUUCACUCGCAAAUUUUAUACCUCUACCCUCUGGUUGGAAAGACAUACUCCUUUAUAGGCAAGGAAAUUCUACUUUUGUGCAUGCAUAAUUAUUCCUUUCCUUCCUCCACUUUGCUGCUUUACUAUCAGUAAUUUCAGAUCUCUUGAAGGUUGACUGCCUGCUCGAGCCCAGGAUUUUGACGAGAGGAACCUCGAGAUGACAGAUAUUGAGUAACCUUUCUCAUCUAAAUUUUUAGAGAAUAUCUAUUAGCUUCUAACUAUCAUAAGAGUUACCAGACUAACUAUUAUCCGUUGAACUAUCAUUAUAGUCGCUGAAUCGCUAUACGUAGUGCAACGAUAUGAUGCAGUCUCACAUUGCCGAGUCAUUAUCAUGAUUGUUGGCAGUUAAUUACUACACCUAAAAGUAACUAUAUUUGUGACCUCUGUACUUUUGCAAUGACAGGCGAACACUUGGACUGACGACACUGAUAGCACCAACAGAACUGAUAAUACGUUGAUCUGUUGUGCAAUUGAUCACGUACUUAUUACAGAAGUAUAGUCAUCUCUCAAGUUAUAAAAGUACCUUAUAUGUUUCUUCAAUGCAUGACUAUUUUUCUCGAUUUUUCUGGGCAAAAAAUACCACUGACUUCCAGCCAACAGACACCGGAUGAUCCAAAUGCACCUGUCACAAAUGCUUCCAGUAGCACAAACAAGAAAAACGCAAAAAGUUAAGUAGCCACAUUGUACUUUGACUCCCUUUGCAAGGUUAUAUUUUUCAACGUACAUAUAUAAUAAUAGCUAUCUUCACAAUUUACAGGGUUGCAGCUGACACAAGUAAGACUGUUGCUUCAAAAAAUAAAUUGUACCUUCCCUGAACAAAGAUUGGCUCAUUAACUUCGGAAGCUAAUAAAUAAAUGGAGAUGUUUUGCGUGUGACCAACCUUUCUGGACGUUUUACUUAUUAUGUUGUCUUCGUGCGACAGCUAUCACCCAGUUUGAUAGACUUUGUGCUUGUUAGUUUCGGCUUAUCUGUACUGUGUUUCCCGAGAACCAUUGCUCCUAUCUGAACUGAACUAUCCAAGACUUGGAUCUCUACAAACCACCCUUAUUAUCCUCCAAAGCGAUGUUUCUGGUCUUUGCUACAUUAU